rnacentral:tRNA from 2 species
GGGGCCAUAGCUCAGCUGGGAGAGCGCUACGCUGGCAGCGUAGAGGUCAACGGUUCGAUCCCGUUUGGCUCCACCA